CCCUACGGGGGGCAGCAGUGAGGAAUAUUGGUCAAUGGCCGGAAGGCUGAACCAGCCAAGCCGCGUGAAGGACGAAGGUGCCAAGCAUUGUAAACUUCUUUUGUCAAGGGACAAAAUCAGGCUCGAGAGCCUGACCGAGGGUACUUGAAGAAAAAGCAUCGGCUAACUCCGUGCCAGCAGCCGCGGUAAUACGGAGGAUGCGAGCGUUAUCCGGAUUUAUUGGGUUUAAAGGGUGCGUAGGCGGACUGUCAAGUCAGCGGUAAAAUACGGGGGCUCAACCUCCGCCCGCCGUUGAAACUGACGGG
rnacentral:rRNA from 1 species